rnacentral:rRNA from 1 species
UACAGAGGUGCCAAGCGUUGUUCGGAAUUACUGGGCGUAAAGGGCUCGUAGGUGGCCAACUAAGUCAGACGUGAAAUCCCUCGGCUUAACCGGGGAACUGCGUCUGAUACUGGAUGGCUUGAGUUUGGGAGAGGGAUGCGGAAUUCCAGGUGUAGCGGUGAAAUGCGUAGAUAUCUGGAGGAACACCGGUGGCGAAGGCGGCAUCCUGGACCAACACUGACGCUGAGGAGCGAAAGCCAGGGGAGCAAACGGG